rnacentral:rRNA from 1 species
UGGGGAAUAUUGCACAAUGGGGGAAACCCUGAUGCAGCGACGCCGCGUGAACGAAGAAGGUAUUCGUAUCGUAAAGUUCUGUCCUAUGGAAAGAUAAUGACAGUACCAUAGAAGAAAGCUCCGGCUAAAUACGUGCCAGCAGCCGCGGUAAUACGUAUGGAGCGAGCGUUGUCCGGAAUUAUUGGGCGUAAAGGGUACGCAGGCGGUUUAAUAAGUCGAAUGUUAAAGAUCGGGGCUCAACCCCGCAAAGCAUUGGAAACUGAUAAACUUGAGUAGUGGAGAGGAAAGUGGAAUUCCUAGUGUAGUGGUGAAAUACGUAGAUAUUAGGAGGAAUACCAGUAGCGAAGGCGACUUUCUGGACACAAACUGACGCUGAGGUACGAAAGCGUGGGGAGCAAACAGG